AGAAAAUUGCAACUUUGGGCCCAAAGGUUUGAAUAAUUAAAUUCAAACCUAUAGUUUUUUUUUUAUAAUUUUGGGACUCACAAUCCCAUUUUUAUAUUAUUUUUCUCUCUUCCUCUCACGUUGCUCGGCGUUUUCUCGCAAGGGGGGAUUAUUUUCUUUUUUCUUCAGAUUAUAUUGACAAAGAUAGUGGUGAAAAAGGAGUUGUGAAGGGGAACUUGUUAUUCAAGACACAAGGAGCGAAUCCGGCCGAGAAAGCACCAGAGGUGUAAUUAUGGUGUAUGAGACACCAUCUUUUACGUUGCCUCUUAUUUUGGAUUAUACAAUGUAUCUUGUGCCAACUUAGGACAUAUCUUGUCUAUGGAGCAUGUAAACUCUAAUCCUUUUUAUUAAAUGCAUUUAUAUGUCCAAGAGGAUUAUGUCUGUCCCUUUUGAUUCAUGACCUAAUUUAAAUAACAUGCUAUGAGGAUCAUGUCUGUCCCUCAUGGUUCUAAUUGCUUUUUGAGAUAUUUUAAGACCUGUGGUACAUUGUCUUGGAUGUAUCAUGGUAGAA